UCGGCCGAUGAAGCAGGAGGCGUGGAGGGAGGUCUUUCGUUUGGACGUCUGUUUGACAUGAGAUGGGAUUGUAUCACUGUACAGAGUAACAUUUUCAGGUGGAUUUGGGAGUUUCCAACUUGAAUAACCUUUUGGGAGUUUACAACUUGAAUUAAGUUUUUUUCUGUCUGGAUAUUUUUGUGAUUCACUGUAGCCUAUGUGUCCGCUGACCAGUGAUAACACUGGUUUAGAAAUGCACGUGAGACUUGUCAUGGAGUGUAUCUUGUGGAAACGCAAAAAUGUUUUGUGCUGCCUGGAGAAAUGAGUUGUUGCUUCCAUGGAUCGGAGUGGGACCGGUACAUAUCAAGGAUUUGCGCAUGGGACGCUGGUGGAGAUCGGUGGAGAAGGAGCCGGGAGCCCUGCUCCGCGGUGUCUGGACGAUAGCUGGGACCUUAUGGUCAGCGUGCUUUUGGGAAUAGUCUGCGCGCACACUCAAACACACACACACACACACAAACAAGUGCUAACGUGAAUCGUCCCAUCGGGAAAGCACUUUGGAGUACCGGCUACCUGUCCGAUGGAUUAUUGUGACAUGGAAACUAGAAUAUAUCAGUCUUUGGAUAAAUGGAAACAAAGACAGCCUGUCCUGGAUUUCACACCCCACUCCAUGACUGCACAGAGGUGUUUGUGGGACCCUGCAGAGAUGAUCCCUGGGACCUCCCAAAGUGUGUCCGGCACCUGGAGUGUGUGAGUGUGUGUGUGUGUGUGUGUGUGUGUGUGUGUGUGUGUGUGAGUGAGGUGUGUGUGUGUGUGUGUGUGUGUGUGUGUGUGUGUGUGUGUGUGUGUGUCCGUGACGGGUGGCCCACUUCUGUGAGCCAUAACUUUGGCUUACUGAAGCGUCCCCAUACUGGAAGCGUGUGUGUGUGUGUGUCCAUCCCGGCGCUCACCAUGCCUGACCUCUCACUGGGGUUUACGCACGCUGUGCCUACAAGAGGCUGGAUUCUCCAAGCCGCUUCUCCUCGGAAAUGGACUGUGGAUAAUUUCAAACAAGAGUGUUUUUUGGAAGCGGAGCAGGAUCCUCUCUGGAAUGUUUUUGGAUCAUUUCUCUUUCUUUUUUUUGGACAUUUGAACUUUCCCAGGUCUGUGGAUGUGAAAGCUUUGACGUCCACAUGUGUAUAUGCACAUGUCGAACAGUAUGUGUGUGUGUCUAAGUGUACGUGUGUGUGUACGUGUGUGUGUGUCUGUGUGUGUGUGUGUGUGUUAACUCGAGUGUUUAAAUCUUGGUACCUCUCUCAACUUCAAAGACCACAUCUCUAGCUCAAUGAUAUGGCUGUGUGAUUCAGUGGGUCUUAAAUGGACGAUGAUACACCAGUUCCCUCCAUUUUACCCGCAAACCUCAAAUCAAACUCCUCAGUUUGUGGUUUUGGGUUUUGUCUCCACAACUAAGUGCAAUGGAAGCUUGUUUUGAUAUGUUCCACUGUCAGCCUCCAUUAAUGUUAUUGUCUGUGUUGAUGCCCAUGAAUAUUUGCCAAUAAAACAUGCAGUGUGUUUUGGCA